AUGUGAAUCCAGCCAGCCCAGCCACCUGCAGGGCACAGGGAGGCACUCUCCACGGAAUAUUCCAUUUGCACACAGAGGCCCAUUCCAGAGGGGAGCAGCUGGUCCGACUGAUUCAGAGAAGGAACUGGCCGGCUGGUAAGGCCUUGGACUGCUGUUGGGACGACCACCAAGCGCCCACAUUUCUCAAAGCUCAUGGAACCAGACGUCUGCAACCUGGCUGCAUGUCCCAGAAAAGGCAGAGGCCCCCGAAGACAGGCCUUCAAGAAGCUAGGAGAAGAUCAAACCCCAUGGCGAAGUUUGACCUCAGAAAUAAAAUCGCUGUGCAAUCUG